AUUGAACGCUGGCGGCAGGCCUAACACAUGCAAGUCGAGCGAGCGGCGGACGGGUGAGUAAUGUAUAGGGACUGCACGAUAGAGGGGGAUAACUACUGGAAACGGUGGCUAAUACCGCCUACUGUCGGAUAACCCAUAUGGGAUUAGCUAGUAGGUAAGGUAAUGGCUUACUUGGGCGACGAUCCCUAGCUGGUCUGAGAGGAUUAUCAGCCACACUGGGACCGAGACACGUCCCAGACUCCUACGGAGGCAGCAGUGGGGAAUAUUGCACAAUGGGCGCAAGCCUGAUGCAGCCAUGCCGCGUGUAUGAAGAAGGCCCUAGGGUUGUAAAGUACUUUCAGUCGUGAGGCGUUACCGACAGAAGAAGCACCGGCUAACUCCGUGCCAGCCGCCGCGGUAAUUC
rnacentral:rRNA from 1 species